rnacentral:rRNA from 1 species
GUAAGAGAAGAUAAGAAUAGUGGUAUCCUGAGUAGGUCGGGGCACGUGAAACCUUGAUUGAAACUGGCGGGACCAUCCGCUAAGGCUAAAUACUCCUGAGAGACCGAUAGUGAACCAGUACCGUGAGGGAAAGGUGAAAAGAACCGUGAAUAACGGAGUGAAACAGAUCCUGAAACCAUACGCCUACAAGCGGUCGGAGCUUCUACGUGAAGUGACGGCGUGCCUUUUGCAUAAUGAGCCUACGAGUUACCGUUGCUGGCAAGGAUAAGUGAUUAAGUCAUGGAUCCGUAGCGAAAGCGAGUCUUAAUAGGGCGCUUAAGUCAGUAGUGGUAGACGCGAAACCGUGUGAUCUACCCAUGGGCAGGUUGAAGUUUAGGUAACACUAAAUGGAGGACCGAACCGUUUAACGCUGAAAAGUUUUCGGAUGACCUGUGGGUAGGGGUGAAAGGCCAAUCAAACUCGGAAAUAGCUCGUACUCCCCGAAAUGCAUUUAGGUGCAGCGAUGAUCGAUAGUUACUUAGAGGUAGAGCUACUGAUUGGAUGCGGGGGCUUCACCGCCUACCAAUUCCUGACAAACUCCGAAUGCUAAGUAAUGAUAAUCAUCAGUGAGGGCAUGGGUGCUAAGGUCCAUGUCCGAGAGGGAAAGAACCCAGACCAUCAGCUAAGGUCCCCAAAUGUAUGCUAAGUUGAAAAAACGCGGUUUGAUUGCCCAGACAGCUAGGAUGUUGGCUUGGAAGCAGCCAUUCAUUUAAAGAGUGCGUAACAGCUCACUAGUCGAGCGAUCGAGCAUGGAUAAUAAUCGGGCAUAAGUAUACUACCGAAGCUAUGGAUUUGCGCAUUUAGUUGCGUGAGUGGUAGGGGAGCAUUCUAACGGCGCAGAAGGUGAUUUGUGAGAAUUGCUGGAGCUUUUAGAAAAGAAAAUGUAGGCAUAAGUAACGAUAAGGGGUGCGAGAAACACCCCCGCCGUAAGACUAAGGUUUCCUCAGCUAUGCUAAUCAGCUGAGGGUUAGUCGGGACCUAAGGCACACCCGAAGGGGGACGUCGAUGGCCAACGGGUUAAUAUUCCCGUACUACUGAUAAUUGUGAUGGAGUGACACAGUGAUGAAAGCACCGCGAACUGACGGAAUAGUUCGUUGAAGCACGUACCUAUAGGUUUGAUAGUAAAAUGCGUCAGACUUGGAGAAAUGCGAUAGUACUUUGAGUCUUCGGACAACGAGAUAGUGUGCCUAAGGGCUGUCAAGAAAAGCUUCUAAACUUAGAUUAUUAGUACCCGUACCGUAAACCGACACAGGUAGUCGAGGAGAGUAUCCUAAGGCGCUCGAGAGAUUCAUGGCUAAGGAACUAGGCAAAAUAGACCUGUAACUUCGGGAGAAAGGUCGCCAGCGCAAGCUGGCCGCAGUGAAAAGGUCCAGGCGACUGUUUAUCAAAAACACAGGGCUCUGCAAAAUCGUAAGAUGACGUAUAGGGCCUGACACCUGCCCGGUGCUGGAAGGUUAAGAGGAGAUGUUAUCUUCGGAGAAGCAUUGAAUUGAAGCCCCAGUAAACGGCGGCCGUAACUAUAACGGUCCUAAGGUAGCGAAAUUCCUUGUCGG